rnacentral:lncRNA from 1 species
GAGGAAGCUCAGUGUCUCUCUAGAGCUCUGGGUGAAGAGUUGGAUCUCAGUCAGACUCAGCUGGAUCUGCAGGUCUGUAGAGGUCUGGAGCUGAUUCUGGAAUAUUCUGAAGGACUGACAGAACUAGAUCUGAGUCACUGCCGUCUCACAGAUAACAGCCUGGAUCUGCUGCUCCCAAACCUCCACAAAGUGCAAAACAUUGAUUUUAGUGGCAAUAGCAUCACUGACGCUGGGGCUGAGAAUAUCCACAGGAUCGUCACUCGCAACAGUAACAUAAAGACAGUAAGGCUCUUCAAUAACAGAAUUGAAUCCAGAGAGCUCUUCAGGACAGACCCCCGAUUUGAGAUCUGGUGAUGCCAGUAAACUCUCUCUGGAAUCAACAAACAGGUGAAAUAACCAGUGGGAAAUAAUGAGGUAACAGGGGUUAAAAGCUUUGAGGAAUCUGCCCAUCAGAGUCCCAAAGUAAAAUCAAGCCACAUUCAUUUUUAUCAUCACUUUCAAUCAUAAUCAGCAGUGGGUUUCUGUUGCAUUAACUGUGUUUCGUAAAAUUACAAAAUCAAUCUUCUUUGUAAACUGUCUUGCCCCUUCUCCACACUUUAUAUUAUUUGCGUCUUGCUGAGUUUAUUUUUUAAUUGCAUACCAAAAAAAUGUUUGCAUGUAAAACUACUGACAUAAAUCCUUAAGAAUCUUGAAAAAUACAAGAUUUCAGGAAAAAUACUGCAGCUUUGACAACUUGCUGUUUCAAUAUCCACUUUGUUCCUGUAGAGGGCAGCAACAAGAAAAUCCACAGCGAAGGUGGCAAGGAGGAGAUAGACAUGAAAACAACCAAAAUAAAGAGCAAGUGCAUUUAUACCAUUGAUUAGCUGAUCUUCUCCUCUUCAUCCUAAAGAAGAGAAAGACCAUUUGCAAGCAGGCAGUGUUUCACUGUCUGACCUCUGUUUACUGCAAACACAAUACGAGAGAGACAUUAUACUCAGGAAAUCACACUUACCUCAUUCCUGUGACUGAAAUGUUUGGCUAGUUAGGCAGGAGGGUAAAAAAAAGGGCUUUUGUUUUUACAGCUACAGUAUUAAUGUCAUGGUACUAAAGCAGUUAGGAUAUGUCACAACUGUAUUACAGAUGUUUGCAGGGCUUUCCCCCUACUGUUACUUCUGUCUGUUUUUCCUUUUUUUUAUGAUAACUUUAUUUUUGUAUCGAAUCCUGUGUAGAGUUCUUGGCCAGUAUUAAUCUGUGGGUAUGAUCAUAAACUGUUGAACUGUUACUGUAAUAAAUAAAUC